rfam:Sphingomonas hengshuiensis strain WHSC-8, complete genome.
CCGUCAUCCCCGGGGGAGCGCCGACCCGCGCUUGAGAGGGGGGCAGGAGCCCCCGACCCGCUGAACCUGAUCCGGUUGACACCGGCGUAGGGAGGGAGCGGUUCUUCACC